rnacentral:rRNA from 1 species
UUGAUUUCUUCGGAAUGAAGAUUUUGUGACUGAGUGGCGGACGGGUGAGUAACGCGUGGGUAACCUGCCUCAUACAGGGGGAUAACAGUUGGAAACGACUGCUAAUACCGCAUAAGCGCACAGGGUCGCAUGACCUGGUGUGAAAAACUCCGGUGGUAUGAGAUGGACCCGCGUCUGAUUAGCCAGUUGGUGGGGUAACGGCCUACCAAAGCAACGAUCAGUAGCCGACCUGAGAGGGUGACCGGCCACAUUGGGACUGAGACACGGCCCAAACUCCUACGGGAGGCAGCAGUGGGGAAUAUUGCACAAUGGGGGAAACCCUGAUGCAGCGACGCCGCGUGAGCGAAGAAGUAUUUCGGUAUGUAAAGCUCUAUCAGCAGGGAAGGAGAAAUGACGGUACCUGACUAAGAAGCACCGGCUAAAUACGUGCCAGCAGCCGCGGUAAUACGUAUGGUGCAAGCGUUAUCCGGAUUUACUGGGUGUAAAGGGAGCGCAGGCGGUACGGCAAGUCUGAUGUGAAAGCCCGGGGCUCAACCCCGGUACUGCAUUGGAAACUGUCGGACUAGAGUGUCGGAGGGGUAAGUGGAAUUCCUAGUGUAGCGGUGAAAUGCGUAGAUAUUAGGAGGA